UGACGUCGGUUCCUCCUCCUGUGUGCAGUCAAUCAGGAGGAUUUUACGACGUCGCAGAUCAAUCAGAGUCUUUUUCACCCAGGAAGCUCGAGGCUGCAGCAGCCAAUCGGCAAACGGCUUCCUGGUUUUGCGAGACUCAACAAAC